CGAACCAUAUUUACAGUGCUCGAUCAGUGGGGAUACCGCUGACUAGCAUAUCAUUAGCGAGA
rnacentral:rRNA from 1 species